UAGACUUUGUUCUGAGCUGAAGCCAAGGCCUAACGAGCGACCAUUUCUCUUGGACUUUCAUGGUAAUAGAAAAAAAGAAUCAUUUCUUCAUCUUCUCUCUUUCCGGUUAUACCUUUUCAAUUGCAACUGACCACUGGCUAAUCAUCUUCUUCAUCUGCUUAUUCUCAUAAUGUUCAUCAUCAUCAAUUGUGGUUCCUGUUUAAUUAUAUCGGUUAACUGUUUUUCUUUAGGUGGAGAAAAAAAAUUCUGCCUCUCUGCUAAUCCAAUUUUGCUUUUUCUUCAAUGUUUACAUUUUGACAUUUUUUUCUUCUUCGUUUUCAAUGAAAUUGAUUGGAAAUCAUCUUAAUUUAUUGUUAUUGGAUUAAGAUUAUUAGGUGUGUGGUUAUUUGUUGUCAUUUUCGUGAUUUAUUAUUAGAAAUCAAUCAAUCUGAUUUUAAUCA